rnacentral:rRNA from 1 species
UACGAAGGGGACUAGCGUUGUUCGGAAUUACUGGGCGUAAAGCGCACGUAGGCGGAUUUGUAAGUCAGGGGUGAAAUCCCGGGGCUCAACCUCGGAACUGCCUUUGAUACUGCAAGUCUCGAGUCCGGGAGAGGUGAGUGGAAUUCCUAGUGUAGAGGUGAAAUUCGUAGAUAUUAGGAAGAACACCAGUGGCGAAGGCGGCGACCUGGUCCAUUACUGACGCUGAGGCGCGACAGCGUGGGGAGCAAACAGG